GAUGAAGAACGUAGCGAAAUGCGAUAAGUAAUGUGAAUUGCAGAAUUCAGUGAAUCAUCGAAUCUUUGAACGCACAUUGCGCCCUCUGGUAUUCCGGGGGGCAUGCCUGUUCGAGCGUCAUUGCAAACCCCUCAAGCACGGCUUGUGUGUUGGGCCAUCGUCCCCUAUGGACGGGCCUGAAAUGCAGUGGCAGCACCGAGUCCUGGUGUCUGAGUGUAUGGGAAUCUCUAUCGCUCAAAGACCCAAUCGGCGCUGAUGUCAGAUUUUUAUCCAGUUUGACCUCGGAUCAGGUAGGAGUACCCGCUGAACUUAAGCAUAUCAAUAAGCGGAGGA
rnacentral:misc_RNA from 1 species